UACGGUCACAUCACGUUGAAACACCGGUUCCGUACGUAUCACCGAAGUUAAGCAACGUCGAGUUUGGUCAGUACCUAGAUGGGUGACUGUUUGGAAAUACUAGGUCUUGUA